UACGUAGGGUGCUAGCGUUGUCCGGAUUUAUUGGGCGUAAAGAGCUCGUAGGCGGCUUUGUAAGUCUGGUGUGAAAACCCCAGGCUCAACCUGGGGACGCCACUCGAUACUGCAAUAGCUAGAGUCUGGUAGGGGAUCACGGAAUUCCUGGUGUAGCGGUGAAAUGCGCAGAUAUCAGGAGGAACACCGGUGGCGAAGGCGGUGAGCUGGGCCAGUACUGACGCUGAGGAGCGAAAGCGUGGGGAGCAAACAGG
rnacentral:rRNA from 1 species